UACGUAGGGUGCGAGCGUUAAUCGGAAUUACUGGGCGUAAAGCGUGCGCAGGCGGUUCGUUAAGUUCGUUGUGAAAGCCCCGGGCUCAACCUGGGAACUGCAAUGGAAACUGGCGGGCUGGAGUAUGGCAGAGGGGGGUGGAAUUCCGCGUGUAGCAGUGAAAUGCGUAGAGAUGCGGAGGAACACCUGGGGCGAAGGCGGCCAGCUGGGCCAAUACUAACGCUGAGGUGCGAAAGCGUGGGGAGCAAACAGG
rnacentral:rRNA from 1 species